UCCAUCUACAAACCGAUGGGAAAUGUCUCUCAUUAUUUUCCCCUAAAACCCUAGCCUCCUUUCCACCACACAAAAUAUUUCGUGUUUCUUCUUUCUUCUUCUGCUGAACCUGCGACCCUCCCUUCGACCCUCUCUUCGAAGACGACCUUACCUCCGCCGACGAACACCAUCUUGUCGUCACCGCCCUUCUUCUCCGACGACCAUAAUCAAAUUUACAAAGUUCAAUCUCUCUUUAGAAAACCCUAAUUCCCAAAAUCCUUCAAACUCAAUCGCCACCGUCACUAGCCGUCACACACAGUGGCCGUGAUCUGUCCCCGUUGCUGCAUCUCCGAUUUCCUUCUAUCAACAGAAAUACAUCCUUACAUCUCGUGUGGAAGUUGAUGGGACCCAAGCAUUUAUUGACGAGAUUGGGAAGCUUGCUGAGUCUAACGGGUUACCAUCUGAGAGCUUUAGAUCUUCCCUCUCAGAAUUUUCUGCUGAUGAAGUGAGAAGCCAUUUGAGUGAGUGCCAUUAUUCUAAACAAUGAAAAUUCUAGCAUUCAUAUUGACGCAGUUCUGGAUCCUUUAAGUCCAACCAGCCAGAAGUUGUCUGGAAUUCUUCGAGUUUUUUGGAAAUACAUUAAGCCCAGCAUGAGGAUUGUACUGAAUCCUAUGUCAUGACCGGGAUAAUAUUAUGCUUGAGAACCUUGGUGACACAAGAACACUACAAGCAGCUUUUGAACUGGAAGCUCUUUUCCUCACAGGUCAUUGCUCUGAGAAAGAUCACGAUCCUACAUGAGGUCUUCAGCUGAUUCUUGGAACCAAAACUUCACCGCAUUUAGAUGAUACCAUUGUGAUGGCCAAUCUUGGUUAUUGGCAAAUGAAAGUUGCUCCUGGUGUUUGGUUCUUGUAGCUUGCUCCUGGUAGAAGUUCUGAGCUCUAUAUUUUUAAGGAAGUUGAUGAUGGAAGUAAGAAUAGACAAUCAUCAAAACUCAUCACUAUUAACAGUUUACGGGGUAAAGUAGUUCAUAUGGAAGUAGUGAAAAGAAAGGGCAAGGAAGAUGAGAAAUUGCUCAUUCCUGAUGAUGAAGAUGAUGACGAUCGGCAAGAUAAGAAAGGAAGUAGCUGGAAUUCUAACAUACUAAAAUGGGCUUCUGGUUUCAUCAGUAGCAAUGAACAAUCGAAAAAUGCUGAAAGCAAAUCACCCGAUCUGAUUCCCCACAUGUCCAAAGAGUAUGGUUUUGAAUAUGAACUAAUCACAUACAAAUGGCCUAUUUGGGCAUAUAAAAUUUUAUUCCUGGAUGUCGUCUUUCCUUAUUCUUCUUAUAUGGAUUUUUUUCUUUAUAAGUGCUUUUGAAUCAAUUUGCAAAUGACAAUAAAAAAAAGCUACAUGGCUUCAUCCAAUACAAAGAAACAACAUAAUUCUAAUGAUUGUGAGCACUAUGUGAUGAAAAAUAUGUUGGAUAUUGUCUCUGCCAAUAUAACCGAAUCUUGGAUGCAGGUAUUUGAUGACCCUACAAAAUUAACACAAGAUGAUUUGUAUGAUUUGCGACUCUGUUGAGAAAAAUGUAAUUAGUGUUAUUGUUUAUUUUCAACAAAUGUAAUUUUGGUGCUGUCUUCAGAAGCUACAACUCAUUUUUCGUGGAUGCAAGUUGGUAAUUUUGUUGUUUUGUUGUUUUGUUAUUUUGUAGUAGUCCACCGUGUGUAAACUUUCUUAUAAUUUUGUACACUUGUGUA